rnacentral:rRNA from 1 species
AGUGAACGCUGGCGGUAGGCCUAACACAUGCAAGUCGAACGGCAGCACAGUAAGAGCUUGCUCUUACGGGUGGCGAGUGGCGGACGGGUGAGGAAUACAUCGGAAUCUACUUUUUCGUGGGGGAUAACGUAGGGAAACUUACGCUAAUACCGCAUACGACCUACGGGUGAAAGCAGGGGAUCUUCGGACCUUGCGCGAUUGAAUGAGCCGAUGUCGGAUUAGCUAGUUGGCGGGGUAAAGGCCCACCAAGGCGACGAUCCGUAGCUGGUCUGAGAGGAUGAGCAGCAACAUGGGAACUGAGCCACGGUCCAGCCUCCUACGGGAGGAAGCAGUGGGAAAUAUUGGACAAUGGGCGCAAGCCUGAUCCACCUAUCCCGGGGGGGUGAAGAAGGCCUUCGGUUUGUAAACCCUUUUUGUGGGAAAAAAAAAGCAGCAGUUUAAUACCCCGCUGUUCGGACGGUACCCAAAAAAUAAGCACCGGCUAACUUCGUG